UGACGCAUCCGUAGGCCCUGCGCACCCAGCCGGGUGAGCCCAACGGAGGCGCUCAUUGGUCCGGUCCACACCGCGGGCCACGCCCCCAGGCAGGAGCCGGUCCACGUGGGGCCAGACAGCCCCCUCCCUUCGGCCUCUUGCGGGCCUCCCUGCGCCGUCCGGCUACGCCGGCUGGCGACCGCGGGGUGCCCUCGCCUUGUCCCGGAGGUCGCCAUGCUUGCGGGGUUACAGAGGCUGCGACUAAGGUCAUUCCUGGUUCCUCCCUCGCAGGCCCUGUUUUGCAGCGCUGGCCGCCCCUCACGCCGCACUUUCGGCGCACUCGGGACCUGCUGCACCCGGUGGCCACACCCUUCCCGUCUGCCGGGUGACGCUGCGGGAAAGCCUGCGGCCUGAGGCUCCGGAUCCAGUUCUGGCACGUUAUCCCACCUGUGACUUGCUCUUGGCCGGGCACUGUCCCUCGCCUGGGGUAGGGGGAGGACGCUCACGUGGUGGCUUCAUGCACUCGGGUGAAAACAGAAGGACUUAAAAGUCACAAGAACCAGCCCGUCUUUCCAAUUAUAGCACAGAGCUACGGGAUGGCUGUGGGUCAUUAAUUUCCCUGUGGCGGUGGUGCGGCUGUGGCCGGGUGAAGGACACUGCUUCAGAUUCAAAUUCUGACUCUUUGCUGCAGUGUGUCACCUUGAGCAAGUUCCACAUCUCUCAGACUGCGUUCUCAGGGACGUGAAAUGUUAGCAGUCGGUACCUGCCCUGUGGUGGGAAUUACAUAAUUACACAGGGAAUUAACGCCUGUGCACGUGACUAGAACUCAGUAGAUGUUCAGGAAAUGCUGAUUUCCGUUUUGUCCUUUCCGUGAAUAUGCCUGUUUAAGGAUGUAGAAAAAGGUGUAAGGGGAUGUUCUCUUUGCAUCCUGGAAGCUUUCUUAUCCUUUUGAGGUGGAGAUUGAUUUCUGGUCCCCUAUGUUGUGUAUCAUAUAGUUUUGACAUUAAGGGACACAGUCAAGGAAAUGCAUCUGAGGUCACUGUUCACAGUGCAUGAAGUCAGUAUCCUGGAAAUAGUCUGCUUGGAGGAGGGGGACUCAGUGGGCUUGGACACAUUGUGAAGCCAGAUCAGGAACAAAGGCAGCUUCAGAGGCCACCCAUGAGGACUUGAAUGGGAGCAGGGGAGAGAACAUCCAGGUAAGAGAAGAUGAAGAAAGGGAGGCACAGAGAAGGAGGCAAGAGGUAAAGCAGUGAAGAAUCUAACAAAUUUAAAAAUUCCCUGUAUCCAGGUACCAUACGCUCGAGGGGAGGCACAGCCAGAGAGAAGGGGACGCUCCAGAAGGCGCUGCAGCUUAAUCCUGAUCUAAUCCUGCCUUGGAAGCAAAGCUCUUGUCCCUUCAGUAAUGACAGCUUCUCCCCACUCCUAGGACCAUGGCUUUCCACCGACGAGU